rnacentral:rRNA from 1 species
CAGCUCACCGGAUAAGAUAGCUGGAUGAUAGCCGGGCUGAAGACUCUGCUUGACUAGCUGAGAGGAGGUGCAUGGCCGUCGUCAGUUCGUACUGUGAAGCAUCCUGUUAAGUCAGGCAACGAGCGAGACCCACGCCAACAGUUGCCAGCAUGUCCUCCGGGAUGAUGGGGACACUGUUGGGACCGCCUCUGCUAAAGAGGAGGAAGGAAUGGGCAACGGUAGGUCAGCAUGCCCCGAAUUAUCCGGGCUACACGCGGGCUACAAUGAUCAGGACAAUGGGUAUCGACACCGAGAGGUGGAGGCAAUCUCCUAAACCUGUCCUUAGUUCGGAUUGUGGGCUGCAACUCGCCCACAUGAAGCUGGAAUCCGUAGUAAUCGCGUUUCAAAAUAGCGCGGUGAAUAUGUCCCUGCUCCUU